GCAUUGGUGGUUCAGUGGGAGAAAUCUCACCUUCCAUGUGGGUGACCUGGGUUCGAUUCACAGCCAAUGUA
rnacentral:tRNA from 1 species